rnacentral:rRNA from 1 species
AUUGAACGCUGGCGGCAUGCCUUACACAUGCAAGUCGAACGGCAGCACGGGAGCAAUCCUGGUGGCGAGUGGCGAACGGGUGAGUAAUACAUCGGAACGUGCCCAGUAGUGGGGGAUAACCGGCGAAAGCCGGACUAAUACCGCAUACGACCUACGGGUGAAAGCAGGGGAGUCGCAAGACCUUGCGCUAUUGGAGCGGCCGAUGUCAGAUUAGCUUGUUGGGGGGUAAAA